GAUGAACGCUGGCGGCGUGCUUAACACAUGCAAGUCGAACGAAGAAGAGUUGAAUGAGAGCUUCGGCAGGAUUUCUUCUCAUCUUAGUGGCGGACGGAUGAGUAACGUGUGGGCAACCUGCCCUGUACUGUGGAAUAAUCACUGGAAACGGUGACUAAUACCGCAUGUCAUCACCGGAGGGCAUCCUCUGGUGAAAAAAGGAUUUAUUCGGUACAGGAUGGGCCCGCAUCUGAUUAGCUAGUUGGUGAGAUAACAGCCCACCAAGGCGACGAUCAGUAGCCGACCUGAGAGGGUGAUCGGCCACAUUGGGACUGAGACACGGCCCAAACUCCUACGGGAGGCAGCAGUGGGGAAUAUUGCACAAUGGGGGAAACCCUGAUGCAGCAACGCCGCGUGAAGGAUGAAGGUUUUCGGAUCGUAAACUUCUAUCAACAGGGAAGAAACAAAUGACGGUACCUGAAUAAGAAGCCCCGGCUAACUACGUGCCAGCAGCCGCCGUAAAAC
rnacentral:rRNA from 1 species